UUGAGGAAAGGAGAGGCUAAAAAUUCUGCCUUCUCUCCUAAAGCCAGCCAGGCUCUUUAUGGUGGGGGAAGGAAGGAUUUGUUUAUUUGCACUCUUCUGAAAUAAAAGUUCUCUAUCCUCCCUCCUGGCUGGAGUUGGGAGGGCCCCAUGGGUGGGCUCUGAGAUGUGGCACACGGUACCCAGGGCAGGGCUGGGAAGGGUGGGGUGCAGGGGCCUCCCUGGCUGCAGGGCCCACCCACCAGGUGCCUGGGCUUGCUGCACUGAGCAGGCAUGGGCUCUGGCCCCCCUCACUGUCCCUUCCAGGCCCAGCCUGUGUUCAGGGCCCAGGACAGGGUCUGGCCAGCAGGCCCCAGGCCUCCAAGAUGUUCUCAGCCUCUGGAGUGAGUGUGAUGAUGAGCACUCAUGGAGCUUCCUGUAUGCUGGGCCCUGGGCUUCUGAGAGGGCCACCGGGUGGCGACUGAGUCACGAGGUGGAGGGCCAGUCCCAGGGACUCCAGGUGACCUCGUGUCGGCACCACACCCUUCUCCCAUGGGCAGUCCUGGGCGCCCCUUCCUGGCCUUGGGCCCAGUGGCCUGUGGCCUGACCCCGUCCACUCCUGCUUGGUUGU
rnacentral:lncRNA from 1 species